rnacentral:rRNA from 1 species
AUUGAACGCUGGCGGCAUGCCUUACACAUGCAAGUCGAACGGUAACGCGGGGUAACCUGGCGACGAGUGGCGAACGGGUGAGUAAUGCAUCGGAACGUGCCCAGUAGUGGGGGAUAGCCCGGCGAAAGCCGGAUUAAUACCGCAUACGACCUACGGGUGAAAGCGGGGGAUCGCAAGACCUCGCGCUAUUGGAGCGGCCGAUGUCAGAUUAGGUAGUUGGUGGGGUAAAAGCCUACCAAGCCUACGAUCUGUAGCUGGUCUGAGAGGACGACCAGCCACACUGGGACUGAGACACGGCCCAGACUCCUACGGGAGGCAGCAGUGGGGAAUUUUGGACAAUGGGCGCAAGCCUGAUCCAGCCAUGCCGCGUGCGGGAAGAAGGCCUUCGGGUUGUAAACCGCUUUUGUCAGGGAAGAAAUCUUCUGGGCUAAUACCUCGGGAGGAUGACGGUACCUGAAGAAUAAGCACCGGCUAACUCCGUGCCAGCAGCCGCGGUAACAC